rnacentral:lncRNA from 12 species
GAUUCGUGGGCGUGGCCGGUGGAGCUCCGCGCGUGCUCAGAGGGAAGAGGAGGAGUCCCGAGCGAGGCUUCCUUAGGAGACCGGGGCGCGGGACCUGCAGCCUCGCGUUCUCGGGCGCCUGUUAAACCCUCGCCUCCGCGUUGCCGUUUAAUCAUGGAUAUUCAAAUGAAAAAAGGGAAGGCCUUAUUUUUUCCCAGUUUCGAGAUAUAAUUGAAGUUGGACACUCAAAAAGUGUGGGGGUCAAGGCACGGGGUCAGCGGAGGGGUCGCGGGGGAGGGUCCCGGGCCUGGAGGCCCGCGGGAGGGGCGGCCUGGCGGGCGGGCUGGGGACCACCGUGGCAUCGCGAGGGCCGCAGGGCCACAGCGGCUGCAGCGCCCGCCCUGCACGCGGAGCCCCAGGGGACCCCAGAACCAGGGGCGUGGGGGCCAAGGGAGGAAGAGAGCCUGCCGGCGGCCACCGCGAGGACCACCGCCCUCCCCUGUCCCCCUUCCUUCCCCGGGGUGCGAUUCUUCCCUGCGCACCCCAGCCAACCCCACCGCACCUCUGGGGCCUUGACUGAUUCCUCACUCCCUUUCUUGAAUUGCCUUCUCAGGAACUCCAUUUGCCCAGAGCCCCGUCUGUCCGUGUCAGCGUCCAGGACGCUGCGGAUGUGUCUGAAGUCUGAUGAUGGGAGACGGGCAGCGACUGCAGCGAGACACAGGGCAUGUCAGGAGCGGAGGGCUGAACUUCUGUGAACUACCUCUUGAAGAAGUCCCUUGAGGAAGCCGGGAGACCAGUGUGCGUCCGGCACCCACAGAGACCUGGGUGGCCAGCAUCAGAGUGAGAGCAUCCGAGGUUGUAGGACGCAGUUCUCGGAUUUCUGAUAUAUUGGUCGACAAGGCAAGGGAUUCUCAUGUUGACUCGUAUGGGCUCUGAAGCAGAGAAGUGCGGCACGUGUCCACAGUGUUUUUCCGGAAACUGGAAGGAUGGAGUCGCAGAGAGGAGACGGGAAGCCUCCGAGAGGCUCAUCCUUGGGCCCGCCAUGUGAAGUUUGAGAGGCUCGCUAGACACAUCAUCAUAGGCAUCCCUUAAACAGCUGACUAGGACUUUAGAGUUCAGGGACUGGUGAGUCCAGGCAACCAUUCACUUGUCCAAACCCACAGAACAUCCGACACCAAGAGUGAACCCUAACGGGGUUGCCUGUAGACUCCAGAUGACGAUGGGUCAGUGUGGGCUACUGUUGUAACAAAGGUACCGAAUGGCAAGGAUGUGGGAGAUGGGGGCAUUGUGGGGGGAGGCAGUAUUUGUUAAAUACUGAAUAAAUAAGGUUAUUUAGAACACGU